GGGGAUUUAGCUCAGCGGUAGAGCAUUUGCCUAGCAAGCGCAAGGCCCUGGGUUCGGUCCCCAGCUCCG
rfam:Rattus norvegicus chromosome 1, whole genome shotgun sequence.